UCUUAGGCUUCUGUUCUCCAAUCUCAGAACUUGUGCUGUGCUCCAUCACCAGGGGAACUGAUAGCUUUUAGCAGGCAAACCCUGAGGUGGAAAAGGCUGCUCAGCCUCCCUCUGCCUCUCUCCCCCAAACUCCCUCUUUUUUUCUCUCUCUCUCUUUAGUUUCAUCUUUCUCUUUCACAGCAUUUUGUUUUCCUUUGGUAUCCCUGUGACACUCCCCUUUUCCUUCCCCCCCUCGCAAAGGCAGGUUGGAAUUGAAGUAAAUUUAUUUCUCCUCUCUCCUCAUGCUGCUGCUGCUGCUGUGGACAUAAACCUUCCUCCUUCCAGAGCAGUCAGCGCUGUCACUGAAACGUAUUACCUCUGUUUCCAGAGCUCCUCACACAGGUGGUGUUGUAUUUCCAAGGCUGAAUAACAGGGAUGAUUUCAAGUUGACGUCUCUCUUUUUUUGUUUGUUUUUGCGUGACAACAUAUCACCUUUGUUUACUGUUUCUAUUGUUUCCCUCUGUGAGCAGAUCUGAGCCCGAUGGAGGACAUAAGACAGACCUGGCGGGUGAUGAAACACAAGGACACACAGGGUGGAGAGGCGGGGAGUUGGAACAGUGUGAGGUCUGGCAGAGCAGGUGAGAGAGGGGUUUUUGUGGAUGUUGCUGGUAAAUUCAGCAAAAGGAUUUAAAAAUAGGAGAGGGCAGUGAGUCAGAUCCCUGGACAAAGAGCAGUAAGGAAUUAACUUUUUUUUGUUGUUUUUUUACCUUCUUCCUACCUGCCCCGCGUUCUCACCUUCCAUCCCACAUAAUCACGUCACAGGAAGCACCUCAGGGAGAGGGUCUUUUUCUAACACUGUCUCCCUCUGCUUCCUUUGUUCUCUGAAAAUGAGCACCUCAGAUCUGAUGCCUCC
rnacentral:lncRNA from 1 species